rnacentral:rRNA from 1 species
CGUAGGGUGCGAGCGUUAAUCGGAAUUACUGGGCGUAAAGCGUGCGCAGGCGGUUUAGUAAGACAGGCGUGAAAUCCCCGGGCUCAACCUGGGAACUGCGCUUGUGACUGCUAAGCUAGAGUACGGCAGAGGGGGGUGGAAUUCCACGUGUAGCAGUGAAAUGCGUAGAGAUGUGGAGGAACACCAAUGGCGAAGGCAGCCCCCCUGGGUCGAUACUGACGCUCAUGCACGAAAGCGUGGGUAGCAAACAGGAUUAGAUACCCUGGUAGUCCCACGCCCUAAACGAUGUCAACUAGGUGUUGGGAGGGUAAAACCUUUUGUACCGGAGCUAACGCGUGAAGUUGACCGCUGGGGAUACGGCCGCAAGGU